rnacentral:rRNA from 1 species
CCCUUAGAUGUUCUGGGCCGCACGCGCGCUACACUGAUCGGUGCAACAAGCAUCCGUCCUUGGCCGACAGGCCCGGGCAAUCUUUGAACGCCGGUCGUGAUGGGGAUAGACCUUUGCAAUUUUUGGUCUUCAACGAGGAAUUCCUAGUAAACGCAAGUCAUCAGCUUGCAUUGAUUACGUCCCUGCCCUUUGUACACACCGCCCGUCGCACCUACCGAUUGAAUGGUCCGGUGAAAUCUUCGGAUCUGAGAGAUGUCUGAUUAAUUUCGGACGCCUUUUGGAAAAGUUGUUUAAACCUUACCAUUUAGAGGAAGGUGAAGUCGUAACA